GGGAGGAAUGUGUUGGGGUAGCGAGCGGGGCUAGGGGUGGCCGGGCCCACGCCCGGAAGAGAAUCCAGGCCAAAAUGAAUCAAAUAAGCGACUGGGCUUUAGGAGGGGUGGAACGAUUAGCAGAGCUGAAAUCAGAUCUUAAAACAUAAAUAAUCACUUCCCAUAUAACAAAACACUAUUUCUAGUCAUUUCCACAACACAGGCUGCAGAGAACAUGAAAAAGGUAGAAGAGAUAAAAAGAAAUGUAGGGAAGAUAACAAAAUACAUACAUGCAUAAAAACGCUUCAGGUGGACUUUGAAUUAUACUGUGAAUAAUAAAUGUGUUUGCAUUGCUAUAAAAUGCUUCAGUAGGUUUCUGUGACUUAAAAGCAAUAAUGGAUCAUUUCAAAACUUUUCCACCUUUAAUGUGACGUGUAUGCUGCUCCAGUCCUGGCUAAAAUAUGCCAGAACGUUGCGGGAGAAUGUGUUUCAGCUUGAUAAAACCAAACUUCAACUUUUGGUCUGUGAUUCUUAAAGCUGAGAGUGGCGCAAAAAGGAGACAGAGAAUCACGGAACCAGAACCAUACUACCCUCAGUGAAACACGGUGGUGGCAGCAUCAUGAUUUGGGAUUACAGAGCUCAAUAACUGAAUCAGUAGUUGCUUCAACCAGGUUAUUGUUUACAUUUUCUGACUGGUUUAUUAGUUAGACUGCACAAGAUAUGGCAUUAAAGGAGGAAAACGUUUUGAAAUGAAUCAUCAUGGUAUCAUUAUUUUACGUCACAUAAACCUGCCGUUUUCACAUGGCUGUGUACUGUGUAUAUUCACUGCAAAAGCACAUCGGCACUUUGAAACAAAGUCAACAAAGAAAAAUGCAAAAUAUGUUUGAAUAUUUUGCUGUUGUAUGUAAAACAAACUUUUUCCAGUGUGUUUGGAUAUAUUUUGACAUUCUCACAUCUUUAUUACUUCUAAAUAACUGGCUGUCCUUCCAGUUAUUUAGGCUAAAUUCAGGGUUGGUUUUUGAGCUCUCUGGUAAUUGUUUUCCCACUAUUCUGUGAAUAGUGGCUGGGAUUAAGCUUUUAAGCUGUUAUAUUUCAUAUAUUUAUUAGCUACUGUUAGUCAGGUUCCACACCUCUCUGGUCAGUUUGUCUCCAGUUGAAGCUCCACGGUCCAUUCUUUCGCGACUGCUCUGUGGUCAGUGUCGCUAACCUGUCUUAACUUCAGUUUCCAGUGGGAGUUGGCGGGGGGGUGUUUGCUCACCAAGGAAUGGAAACGUGAAACGCGUUUGUCUGUUGGUCAGUUUUUAAAGUGCUCCGCUUUUUCAUUGUCUUGUCUUUGUUGUGUGCUCUCCUCUCCCCACUGAGAUGUCCAUCUGGUCUCAACUGCUUGCGCAGUGUGCCACCUACAGCAGACUAAGAGGUGAUGAAACGUACCAGGACAUUUUCAGAGACUUUUCACACAUGGCCUCCAAUAACCCAGAGAAGCUCAGACGCCGCAGUGCAGAUCCCAAAUCUUAACCAGCCACAUAACCCUCCCCUCCACCAAUUGUUCUGUCCAGUUCCAUCUUCCACAGCCCCCCAACACCCAAAAGCAGAAAAGGCUGAGCUCUCAAGACACAUCCAUUCUCUCUGGCUUCCUUCCACAUGUUGAGCUCAGCUGGUGCUGACUUCAGAGACGUGGGGUAUGAACGCUCCGAACAGGGAAUGCUUUGUGCGAUCACGUCAGCGCAGAACAAUCGCGUCCAAGUGGAAACACUGGAGCAGCUUUAUGAAUCCAGCAUGAGGUGUUACUAUGUCCCGCAGAGCGGCGCCAUCACUCUGCCAAGAGUUCCUAAUUAAAAUCAGUAAUUCUGAUUUCUUUCCUUUCGGUUUAUUUUAACAAAAAUGGGCUGUUUUUUUGGUUAUCGUUCGUUUUUGUUUAAUACUGACUUUUUAAAAGGAUGGUUGCAAGGAGACAUAAAUGUUACAAAAAGAACAUUUUUGUUUCAAUAAAAUACAAUAAAAACUGCACUUGGCAGAUUUCUACAUUACAAAAGACAAUAUUUAUGUAUAUUUUCUCUACAUCAUGUGAGCAUCUUUAAAUUUGUAUUUGACCAAAUAAAACAGUGCAACCUUA